rnacentral:lncRNA from 1 species
GCCGACUGAACCUCUCGCAGAGCCUUCCUGGUCGGAGCGGCGAGCACGCGUGAGAGUUGGGGGUGUACGCGCGACGCUCUCGGCCUUUGCCGGGAGAGGUGGGAACUUCACUCACCGGGGAUUGGGGCCGGCGUUGUCGCCUGGGAAGCGACAGCGAGGGGGUGGGAUUUCCGGAGCCGGUAACCGAGGCAGGGGAACCUUGGUGCCGGAAGGUGGAGGCGGGGCUUCCUGUAGUUCACGGGGUCGACCUGUCGCUCAGACCCCCGAACCUACUUUCCCCUAGGCCGGCAGCAGGAUGGCUGAGGAGGAGGUCCAGGGCCGCCUGUGGCUGGAGAGCCCCGCUGGGGGAGCUCCUCCCAUCUUCCUGCCUUCGAACCGGCAGGCUCUGGUCCUGGGCCGGGGUCCCCUCACCCGUGUUACGGACCGGAAGUGCUCCAGAAACCAAGGUGGGGACGGGCUUGAGCGGGAAGGGGUGUGGCCUGCUCUAGAGGCGGGAAUGAGAUCCUAAAGAAUGAUGCACCGAGGGACGCUCGGCUACUAGGCACAAUUGCGUGGUGCGUCCAGCCCAGGGGUCGAUUGGUGCCUUCUGGGGAGCGCAGAAGGAGAGGUUGUACCUGACCUUGGGGAAGAGGGUGUGGUGCCAACCCCGGGAGAAUUGUCAGUGGGCACAGGAGGCUGCUCUCGGGCCAUUUGAAGGUUUAAAACUGGCCACCACCUUUGUGAAGAGAGGUGAUCCUACAGAGAAAAGUAAAAGCCGGGUGGACGUGGACGGUAACAGGGCAAGCCCAGGGCCUGCGUCAAGCCUCACUUAUUAUUAUUUAUAUGAAAGUGUCUGCCCUGUUCAUAGGCAAGGACCAUGCCACGCGCAGUCCUAGGGACUCUCGCAGUGGGAUCCAAUCCCAUUGAGAAAUAAACUGUCUCUUACUCCUGUCUCUUNUUCCUACUAACCCCACAACUGGGAACGAUUGUCUCCACUUUAUAGUUGCGGAUUUAACUGCAGCAUCGGGGGUAAAACAAAAGUAGGAUAGAUGACUAAGGGGCCUGAAUUUCUUUUACUGACGAUGGUCGUCAAGUCGGAAAGCUUCCUCCUGUUGCAAUUUUCUCCAGCAAAGAAGAUUAAAAUAAGAGGAUAACGUGUAAAGGGAAAAAAAUCUAUGGAUGGAGGAUCCACUCCGCCUAACGGCCUGAGGCGCGCGAUGCCGCAAGAGGGAAGAGGUUCUUCCCUCUUGAGCGGCAGAAGGACCCUAAGCACUGGAGGGGGCGGGGCUAGGACAGUCAUUUCCGUUCGCCGGAAGCCGCCCUCUGGGUAGCCGACUGAACCUCUCGCAGAGCCUUCCUGGUCGGAGCGGCGAGCACGCGUGAGAGUUGGGGGUGUACGCGCGACGCUCUCGGCCUUUGCCGGGAGAGGUGGGAACUUCACUCACCGGGGAUUGGGGCCGGCGUUGUCGCCUGGGAAGCGACAGCGAGGGGGUGGGAUUUCCGGAGCCGGUAACCGAGGCAGGGGAACCUUGGUGCCGGAAGGUGGAGGCGGGGCUUCCUGUAGUUCACGGGGUCGACCUGUCGCUCAGACCCCCGAACCUACUUUCCCCUAGGCCGGCAGCAGGAUGGCUGAGGAGGAGGUCCAGGGCCGCCUGUGGCUGGAGAGCCCCGCUGGGGGAGCUCCUCCCAUCUUCCUGCCUUCGAACCGGCAGGCUCUGGUCCUGGGCCGGGGUCCCCUCACCCGUGUUACGGACCGGAAGUGCUCCAGAAACCAAGGUGGGGACGGGCUUGAGCGGGAAGGGGUGUGGCCUGCUCUAGAGGCGGGAAUGAGAUCCUAAAGAAUGAUGCACCGAGGGACGCUCGGCUACUAGGCACAAUUGCGUGGUGCGUCCAGCCCAGGGGUCGAUUGGUGCCUUCUGGGGAGCGCAGAAGGAGAGGUUGUACCUGACCUUGGGGAAGAGGGUGUGGUGCCAACCCCGGGAGAAUUGUCAGUGGGCACAGGAGGCUGCUCUCGGGCCAUUUGAAGGUUUAAAACUGGCCACCACCUUUGUGAAGAGAGGUGAUCCUACAGAGAAAAGUAAAAGCCGGGUGGACGUGGACGGUAACAGGGCAAGCCCAGGGCCUGCGUCAAGCCUCACUUAUUAUUAUUUAUAUGAAAGUGUCUGCCCUGUUCAUAGGCAAGGACCAUGCCACGCGCAGUCCUAGGGACUCUCGCAGUGGGAUCCAAUCCCAUUGAGAAAUAAACUGUCUCUUACUCUCUCCGGAAUGGAUGCUGUAGCUCCAUUCUGUGGCCUGAAACUGGCCACCGCUCCCCAGUAUGAGGGGGCCCUUCACACAAGGAUGUGAUCCUGACCCCACCCCCUCAUCCCCUAGUGGAGCUGGUUGCAGACCCUGAGACCCGGACAGUGGCUGUGAAACAGGUACCAGUGCUUCAGCAAGGGGCAGCAGUGUCUGGGGGUAGGGUCUGGAGGGGAAUUGCAAACUGGCAGGGGGUAGACCCAUUAGAAAACUGGCCAGAAGAAGGGGGUGUGCUGGUGAAAAAGAGUUGUCGGCUUUAUUUGGGUAUCCAUCUGUCCCCUUUCAACUGGGCAAGACUGGAAGCCUAUAAGGGUCUGAUUGGUAGGUGGACUAAAUCACCCUGUGGUAUUGGGGGGGGGGAGGUUCUCACAGUGGGUGGAGCUGGUCCCAGCCCCUCCCUCUUUCUCUGCAGCUGGGCGUUAACCCUUCAACUGCUGGAACCCAGCAGUUGAAACCAGGGUUGGAGGGCUCUCUGGGGGUGGGGGACACACUAUAUUUGGUCAAUGGCCUCCACCCACUGACCCUGCGCUGGAAAGAGACCCAUACAUCAGGAUCCCAGCCAGAUACUCCGCCUGGCACCUCUCCAGUAGCUUCAGAUGAAGAGCAGGAGAAGGAUGCUAAGCAGCAGAAAAAGCGCUUAAGGAAGUCAUCCCCUGGCUGGGAGAGCUUGGAGAAGCUGCUAGUGUUCACAGCACCUGGGGUGAAGCCUCGGGGCAAGGUGAGGCUGCUGGAGGUUCUGCCCUAGGCCGGGCAUUCAGUCUGAACUUCAAAUGUGAUCCUAGGCAAGGCUGUCAGCCUCUUAGCCUUGGGGGAAGUGUGGGUUGGUCCCUGCUGCCCCUUGGUAGACACCCAGGAAUCAGCAGGAUGACCAGGAACAGGUCAGCAGGGGCUCUUCAGACUGCACUUAGAUGUGGUCAAGGCCAUGCUGAGUCUACAUCUCACCUCUGAAAUGAUGACUUCCCAAAAAGUAUGUGGCCUUGGUCCCUGACAGGCAGUGGGCACCCCAAAAAAGCUUUGCUCUGGUUUUAUUUCCCCUGUAGUUAUUAAUCUCCAAGGUGUAAAAGCCCAGGGGAGGAGAUCGGGUAAGAAACUAAUUCUCAUUUUGAUACUAGAAAUGCAGAGGUGGGGUGGACACAGGAGUGACAGGACAGUAGGAUUUCAGGUGAUGUGUCUGUGCCUCAUCCCUGUUGGGUCAUAUCUACAGAAAACCAUCUCCCUGCAUCAAAGUGUUAUUGUGACUCAUCCUGUGAGUGAAGAGACAGGUGUCUCAAUGCUGCCCCUCCUCUGUUCUUGGUGACACCAGGUAGCUGCCUUUGAUUUGGAUGGGACCCUCAUCACCACCCGCUCUGGGAAGGUGUUUCCCACUGGCCCCAGUGACUGGAGGUGAGGAGGGGCAAGGGAAGGGAGUGAGUGGAGCUGGUUGACCCCUCCAGGCCCCAGGUCACUUGUCCACUUCCGACCCAUUCUAGGGUCUUGUACCUAGAGAUUCCACGCAAGCUGAAGGAGUUGGAAGCAGAAGGCUACAAGGUCUGUGCCUAUGUGAGCAAGCGCGACAGGGUCUCUGAUGAGGAGGCCCUGGUGACAUUGUCUGCUCCCUAGCUGGUGAUCUUCACCAACCAGAUGGGCAUUGGACGAGGGAAACUGCCAGCAGAGGAGUUCAAGGCCAAGGUGGAGGCUGUGGUAGAGAAGCUGGGGGUUCCCUUUCAGGUAUGACUAGAAUGGAGGCUAGGGCCAGGGUAGGGUAACAAAGACCCUUGGGUGGGAGACAAACCCAGAGAGAGUCCCUGGGAUGUAUGGGACAGAGGCCUCUGCUGGGGUCAAGCCAUGAGCAGUUGUCAUGAGCUGUAUAUCCCAGAGCAUGGGCAGCUCUCUGGGGCUUGGUACCCAGCUCUUUGGGGCUUGGAAGAGCUGAGGAUGGUGUGUGACCCCUGCCCCACUUCAGGUGCUGGUGGCUACACAUGCAGGCCUGUAUCGGAAGCCGGUGACUGGCAUGUGGGACCAUCUGCAGGAGCAGGUGAGCUGUACCUCCUCUUCCCCUUGCUCUAGCCCCUGUUUCUUAGGGCUUGUUCUUUCUCUCCUCCCUUAGUCCUUGUCAUGUGGUUUAGCUGUCAGGUCCUAGGUGCUGGUAUAUGAGGUCAGUACCAUUAAGCUGAAGUCAGAGGUUGCAUCAGGAGCAGAGACAGGAGGGUAAGUUUGAGUCAGCCUGGGCAACUUAGGGAGACCCUGUCUCAAACUAUAAAAUAAGCCGGGCACAGUGUCGCAUGAAUGAAAUCCCAGCGGCUCAGGAGGCUGAGGCUGAGUUCAAAGGCAGCUGAUCAAACUCACUGAUCAGGAGUUCAAAGCUGGCCUCAGCAAAGGUGAAGCACUAAGCAACUCAGUGAGACCCUGUCUCUAAAUAAAAUACAAAAUAGGGCUGGGGAUGUGGCUCAGCUGUAGAGCACCUGCCUAGCAUGUCUGAGUCACUGGGUUCCAUCCCUAGUACCACCAAAAAAAAAAAAAAAUCAGUGGUUGAGAUUGUUAAUUCAUUCAACCAAUGGUUUGUUCUGAGCUGAAAAUCCUGGUAAAUAAUAGUGGCAUGCCUGCUGUAGCAGUACUCGUAGACCGCUGAUGGCAGCCAGCUAUAAAUGCACACAUGAGUAUAAAAUAGGAAGUAGGGUGUGAUUUUCCUACGGUAGACAGGGGGACGUCUCUAAGAAGGUGACAAAUUGAGUAAAAGUCUAAGGGAGGUGAGGGAAGAAGCCACAUGGAUAUCUGCAGAAGUGGUCCUGGCCAGAGUGACAGCUGGUGUGAAGGCCCCGAGCCUUGCGUGUUCACCAGUGCGGAUGCCCACCUGGUGGACCCAGGUGAGUGAGAGGGUGGGGCCUCGCCUUGGGGCCACGGGAGCAGAGUAGGAACGCGUGUGGGGUCUAAGUGGGGAUGGGAGCCUGGAAGCCUAUCCGCUCUGGCCUGAGUCUAGGCAGUGAAGCGUGAGAAGCGCUGCAAUGGUGAGGACUUGAGAGGUUUGAGAUCUGGCCUGAUGCAGGGAACAGACCAAGAGGAGCUGCCCCAGGGAGCCCUUUACUGCAGAGGGACAGUUGUUAGGAGUAGGUUCUAUUUGUCUCUCCAGGCCAACGAGGGCGUGCCCAUCUCUAUGGGGGACAGCAUCUUCGUGGGAGGUAAGGGCUUGGGGCUGCUGCGGGUGGGCCAAGACCCUUCUCUCCAAACCUGCUGGCAGUGAAGGGUAUCCUCGUGCGUUCCAGAUGCAGCAGGCCGCCCAGCCAACUGGGCCCCUGGCCGUAAGAAGAAAGACUUUUCCUGCGCUGACCGAUUGGUGAGCAGGUGACCGAUUGGGGAUCGGUCACCAAUGGUGAGCCCCGCACCCCGCCCUCGAU